rnacentral:tRNA from 1 species
CAUUAAGUAGCUUAAAAAUAAAGCAACGGUCUCUUAAACCGUAAUAUAGUAAAUAAUAAUUACUCUUAAUGA